rnacentral:lncRNA from 1 species
CCUCAGCAUGAACACUCAUGUACACAUGCAACUCCACAACACACAUUACUCAUACGCACACUCAAACACAUGGUUUCUCGUUGGGCUGAAAAUAGCAGUCAAAUUUCACUCUAUUAAUUUAAGGAAAGGAAAGACACAAUGGAUAAUACGUGGUUAACUCCGGACUUCCAUAGAAUUGCUUUCACUGAUACAAGUGCAGCAGAUAAUGAUGUCAUUCUGUAAACUUUCUGGACUUCCAUACAAUUGAUUUUACUGAUAUCAAUGUCACUCCUUUUCAUUCCUUUUGUGAACUUGCUGGACUUCCAUACAGCAGAUUUAAGUUCUGUAAAUGUAUAAAUCAUUCAGAAUCAGUUUCAUAUACAGUAAAACAAUCUUCCCAAUUACCAAAUAUGAUGUCUUACAGAAGUCUUGCCAUCAUAUUAAUAACACAACAAAUGUGAUAAUUAGGAAAGGCACCAAUAUAUUCAGUGCAUAAUAAAGAAAUGCGUCAUUCCAAAUGGGAACUCAUUUUCAAAAAGAAAAGAAAAGAAAGAAAAGUGAAUAAACAUUAUCCAUCUGAUAGCCGAACCCCCAAUCACCUGAUUUGAGGAAACUUCUCGAGCCAGCAGCGAGGGUACUUCUAUGUAUUUACUUAACCUGCUUAA